rnacentral:misc_RNA from 1 species
GCCCGUUCCCAUCUCACCUCAC